AGAAGCUUAGGAUAACUAGACCAAAGGCCUUCAAAGCCUUAAGUGGGAGUGGAACCCUCCCAGCCUCUG
rnacentral:tRNA from 1 species